rnacentral:rRNA from 1 species
GAUGAACGCUGGCGGCGUGCCUAAUACACGCAAGUCGAGCGAACAGAUAAGGAGCUUGCUCCUUUGACGUUAGCGGCGGACGGGUGAGUAACACGUGGGUAACCUACCUAUAAGACUGGGAUAACUUCGGGAAACCGGAGCUAAUACCGGAUAAUAUUUCGAACCGCAUGGUUCGAUAGUGAAAGAUGGUUUUGCUAUCACUUAUAGAUGGACCCGCGCCGUAUUAGCUAGUUGGUAAGGUAACGGCUUACCAAGGCGACGAUACGUAGCCGACCUGAGAGGGUGAUCGGCCACACUGGAACUGAGACACGGUCCAGACUCCUACGGGAGGCAGCAGUAGGGAAUCUUCCGCAAUGGGCGAAAGCCUGACGGAGCAACGCCGCGUGAGUGAUGAAGGUCUUCGGAUCGUAAAACUCUGUUAUUAGGGAAGAACAUACGUGUAAGUAACUGUGCACGUCUUGACGGUACCUAAUCAGAAAGCCACGGCUAACUACGUG